CCCUGCUCAAUGAUAUAUUAAAUAGCCGCAGUACUUUGACUGCGCAAAGGUAGCAUAAUCAUUUGGCUUAUAAUUGAAGUCUGGAAUGAAUGGGAAUAUGGGUAGUUACUGUCUUACCAUAAAUAAAGAAUUUACUAAUUAAGUGAAAAUUCUUAUAAAAAUAUAAUAGACGAGAAGACCCUAGAAAUUUUAUAUAAUAUGUAUUACAUUAAGCUAUUUUGUUGGGGCGACAGAACAACAUUUAACUUGUUUAUUAUUAUAAGACCUUAUUGAAUGGUGUAAUUAAAUUACUCUAGGGAUAACAGCAUAAUACAAAAGAGUUUGUGACCUCGAUGUUGGACUAGGAAUAUUAUUGUUUAGAAGAUAAUAAUAAUGGCUCUGUUCGAGCUAAAUCUCCU
rnacentral:rRNA from 1 species